AGAAUCAACGCUGGCGGCGUGCCUCAGACAUGCAAGUCGAACGAUUAAAGCUCUCUUCGGAGAGUGUACAGAGUGGCGCACGGGUGAGUAACACGUAAGUAAUCUACCCUCGAGUGGGGAAUAACGUCCGGAAACGGACGCUAAUACCGCAUAAUGCAGCGGCACCGCAAGGUGACAGUUGUUAAAGAUUUAUCGCUUGAGGAGGAGCUUGCGGCAGAUUAGCUAGUUGGUAAGGUAUGGCUUACCAAGGCUACGAUCUGUAACCGGUCUAAGAGGACGGUCGGUCACACUGACACUGAAUAACGGGUCAGACUCCUACGGGAGGCAGCAGGUCGGGAAUUUUGGGCAAGUGGGCGAAAGCCUGACCCAGCAACGCCGCGUGAAGGAUGAAGUAUUCGGUAUGUAAACUACGAAAGAAGUAGGAAGAAUCAAUGACGUACAUUAGUAAGUCCGAUAACUACGUGCAGCAGCCGAC
rnacentral:rRNA from 1 species